UACGGGGGGAGCAAGCGUUGUUCGGAUUUACUGGGCGUAAAGGGCGCGUAGGCGGCGCGACAAGUCACUUGUGAAAUCUCCGGGCUUAACCCGGAGCGGCCAAGUGAUACUGUAGUGCUAGAGUGCGGAAGGGGCUACUGGAAUUCUCGGUGUAGCGGUGAAAUGCGUAGAUAUCGAGAGGAACACCUGCGGCGAAGGUGGGUAGCUGGGCCGACACUGACGCUGAGGCGCGAAAGCCAGGGGAGCGAACGGG
rnacentral:rRNA from 1 species